CAGUAUCGCAAAGAAGAAGAACAACAAAGAAAUCCUGAAAACACUCGUGGAUGUUUAUGUAUACAGGUCAGCAAGACGCUUAAAAUAAUGCUUCAUUUGAGCUUUGUACGGGCAUGGAAAUGUUAGUUUGGAUGGUAUGUAUGACCCCACGAACACCUUGAACAUCUAUGAUAUUGGAAGAAAGAAGAAACCAAUUGAACCAACGGACCUUGUUCCCAUGAAUAUAAUGUUUGACCUAAAGUGUGAAAGCUCGUCAGGUGAAGAGGAAGAGACGGAAGGAGGAGAGGCUAGUUUAACAGCACAAGUAUCCAGGUGUGCGAAUGUAACAUCAGCGGAUUUAGACGAAUUAGAACACAACCGAAACGAAUCUAGUACCGUAAAGCAAACAAUAUGGGCAGUGAACUGUUUUAAAGCCUGGCUCCGUGAAAAGCAGUUGACAAUCGACUUAAAAACCGCGGAGAAGUCGGAGCUCAACCCGGUGCUGCGCGAGUUUUAUGGCUCUAUUCGGACGAGCAAAGGAGAGUUGUACGGGAUCAGCAGUUACGUCGGGCUCCGGGCUGGGUUAAAUCGGUUCAUCAACGAGCCUCCCAUCAACCGUGCGUGGAAUCUGAUGCAGGACACCGAGUUCAGGUCCGCCAACAAUGUUUUUAAAGGGGUUGUUAAGCAGAUGCGACGCUCCGGUAGGGAUAUAACAGCACAUUAUCCGCCGAUUUCACCUGAAGACAAGCACAUGCUGAAACAUUCUGCUGCACUGGACCCUGGCAACCCAAAAGGCUUAUUAAAUAAGGUGUGGUAUGACAUCCAGUUACAUUUUGGACUCAGGGGUAAGGAGGGCAACCGACACCUGCAGCCAGACGCGUUUGCUUUGAACCGAGACCAAAACGGUUUCAAAUACUUCACCAUGACAUUAAACGAGGACACGAAGAACCCGCAGGAAAGGGACAAGAAAAAACGCAAGGCUAUGUUUGAAGAGCCUGGCAAUCCGCUGUGUCCUGUUGCCUCUCUGGAGAAAUAUCUCAGCAAAAUUCCAGCCGACGCAAAAGCGCUUUAUCUACAGCCCAAAAGGAUGUAUGUGAUCAGCGAUGAGAUCUGGUACACUGCGGUUCCUUUGGGAGUCAAUUACCUGUCCCAAAUGCUGCCCAAAAUUUGCAAAGAGGCCGGGACGAGAACGACCUACACCAAUCACAGUCUGAGGGUCACUUCAAUUCAAAGACUGACCGAAACGAGGGAGAUCAUGGCGGUAUGUUUGCACAGCGUUCCGGUUGAGAUUAACACUCAGUGGCAGCAGGAAUCUGCUCCGUUUUCCCCCAGCAGUGAGCUUGACUCCAGCUCAGCCAAACAGGAGAGUCCCGUGAGCAGCCACAGCUGGGUGAAACAGGAACCGGAGCCUGAAGUAGUCCAGUGGGAAAAUAUGAACUCGGAGGCCGCCACUGGUGCAGAGCAGGACAAAUCUCUGAGCAGUGCUGUUGCUGCAGCGGACCCGAACCCGAUGGAGGAUUUACCCAGCGGUGUUAGGCUGACCAUCACCAAACUUCAGUGUCUGCUGGAGAGCAAACAGGAGAGGAUUGAAGCUCUGGAGAGACAGGUGCAGGACCUACAGGAGGAUCGCAGGUUCCUCCGCUCUCAGAUCGAGAACCUCACCGGCGCUCGCUUGGUUCCGGUGCCUGAAGCGAGCACGUCAGUGUUCUCAGCGCCCAGGUCACGUAAACGGCGGCGGAAGAGCUCGUCCAGCUCGUAUGCCACUGAUGAAUCCAGCAGCUCCUCUUCAUCUGAAGAGUCCAGCAGCGUCAGGAAAAAGAGACGCCACAAGAAGAAAGGGAAGAGAGUGUAUGUUUCCCAGUGUGACUAGGUCUUGAUCUGCCUUCAUCAAGAAGAAGAGUAUGAGUUGGGCUUUUCCGUCCGUCCGUCCGGGACAAUUUUUACGAGUGAGCCUCCAUGUGCCCAGGAGUACAGUGGGCUAUACUGUAAAAGGACCUUAUUUGGGCCCUCCAUCUUCUGGCCUGGGACAGCGCUGUCCCCAUCCCGACCCUCGUGGCAGAACUGCUGCUGGUUUCUAACAGGUCUGUUCCUCUGGUGGGUCAGGCCUUGUGAGGAAACACCCUCAGCGUCUCUGCAGAGCUGUUCAGUUUGUAAUUCUACAACCCGGAAAGGACUCAAGAUUUCUGAGCCUUGAUCUAGAUAACCCUAAGAUAACCUAAGUCUUCCGGGUCGGCCUACGACAUCACAACUGAACAGCUGUUUUGUGAUGACGAAGCCCUCAGAAGAAGGAUGGAGCGGAUGAAGGCUUCUACCUAGGACUGCUGAACAAACGAGCAUUCUCCGUGUUUGGACACUAGAGGGCGCUCUGAGACUAUUGCAAAGUGAAAAUGAGAGGCUCUGGAGCCUGGAAGGAAAUAAAAGUAGUGGGUGACAUUAAAA